CUUCCCUGCAUUAACCAUUCCGUGCCUGAAGUUGAAUCGCCUCUUUCUCUGCUGGAAUGUCAGAGGCACACAGACGCCAGCUCUCCAGGGUGCAGAUAACUGGCAGCAUCUCUCCAGGGUGCAGAUAACCUGGUCUCAAAGCUGGAGAAACUGAGUCAGAAGGCGGGGAAGUGACUUGCCCAAGAUCACCCAGCUGGGCUGAUUUAUGCCAGCUGAGGAGUUGUCCCCUCUCAAGUACAAGUAUCCUGCCAGACGUGCAAGGCCUGAGGCCUGGCAGAUCAAGAAGGAGCCUGUAUCUCUCCCAGUGGAUGCUGGACUGGAGAAGAAGACGAUACCUCGAGCCCUAGCUGCGCGCCACCCAGAGUCUCCUUCAACAUCCUCCCGUGUGGCGCUUUCGCAUUCCAGCAGCCGGUCGCCACGGCCCUCCUCUCCCCGUCACGGCCUGCGCAGAACCUGGAGCACCAGCUCAGGCACCGUCCAUCUCAAGCCUGCCCCGGGCCCAUCUUUAGCAGAGGCGGAGGUGAGCCAGUCUUGGGGGAGACAACAGGCACUACGAUGCUCAGUCACCAUCAGCGGCUGUGGAACAGGGAAGGGCCCGGUGCGGCGCUCAGCUGAGGCCGUGUUCUCAGCUCUGGUUGGCAAGGCCAAAAAAAGAGAAGAAAUCUUUCCAGGAGGCUGGCAAGUCUCUGACAUGUCGGAUGAUCAGCCUCCUCCGCUGCCAGGAGAGAGCGCGGUCACUCCGUGCUCUGCCUGCUGAGCUGGGACUGUGCUCCCUGCAGCUGGCUGGCCUGUCCUCUGCAUCAGUAGGCGGCUUUUGCUUCUCCGGCUGGUAACCUUCAUUCCUAAAGACCGGACUGGGCUAUGGUCUCCUGAUGGGCCCCCGAAGGGGCUCCAGUGGAGCCAGCGGGUGGGACCGACAGCAGAAUUUGACCCUUUAACUGAUGCGUCUCCUGUGAGAGCCCGGUGCCUCCACCACAGCUGUUGCCCGCGUUCACGCCCAUCAGCUCGUGGGCCUUGGUGUAAGAAGAGAACUGUCUUUUCCUAUAGCUUCUGUAUGGAGCUAUAGGAAGAGACGCUGCGCUAGAGGGACCAUCCAGUCCGGCCGUUCCUGUGCUCUGAGGCUGGGAAAAGUGGGACCCCCCCAUCCACGUAACAGCAGCAGUGGAAGCAGCAAUGAAAUACCUGAGCCCUGUCCCUCUGCAGCUCCCCCACUUGCUCUCCCCGGCACCGAAUCAUAGGUUCUGCCUUUGCCCGCGCCGUCAAGGCCCUCGUGAGCCCGGUUUCGCUGGGGGUGGGCGUCUCUCUGGGCCGUGCCAGGGCUGUGCAGGGUUAUUCAGGAUUGCUGCCGGGA